rnacentral:rRNA from 1 species
UACAGGGGGUGCAAACGUUGCUCGGAAUCAUUGGGCGUAAAGCGCACGUAGGCGGUUCGUUAUGUCGGAUGUGAAAGCCCUUGGCUUAACCGAGGAAGUGCAUCCGAAACUGGCGAGCUAGAGUACGAAAGAGGGUCGCGGAAUUCCCGGUGUAGAGGUGAAAUUCGUAGAUAUCGGGAGGAACACCGGUGGCGAAGGCGGCGACCUGGUUCGAUACUGACACUGAGGUGCGAAAGCGUGGGGAGCAAACAGG